UCACAGAACCUUUCAGUUCUAACAUUCCAUCUCUCGGCAAAAAAGGAGUUUAAACAGCUCCUCCUACCUCAGCUCUGAAACACAUGGCUAUCAAAUAACAAGGUUAAGCAUUUCUGAAGCGUGUGGCAGAAUAAAUUAGCUUCCUCUCAAGGAAGAAUAAAGGCAGAUAGGCUGGAAGCUAAUCUCAUGUGCACAUCUGAAGGUGGCCUGUCCACAACCAACUUGGACUUUGGUGAUUUAGUCUGGGAAAGAAGGACAGUCAAGAAGACCUAGAUGUGGUUAGUACAUUGUGAAAAGAGCACAAAACACAGAGUUAAUUCCUGUCCUGGAUCUGCUCGUUCUUAAUUGUGUGAUCUUGGAAGACCCAUGACCUGAGAAGUAUGAAGUCUUGAGACUCCAAGUGACCGUGCCAUCCUACAGUAAAAAAUUAUAGAAUUCUUCACUCUUUAUAUUCAUUAUUUUUUUAAAAAAUGAGUAAGAACAGUGUCCCUCAUCAGAAGAGAUUCCAUGCCAGCUGCCCCCACCCACCCACCCAAUUUUCAGGUCCUUGAAGAUGUUUUCAAGGUGACUUUCACUGAACUGUUUGAAAACACAGAGACAUAUAGCCUUGUAUUUAGCAUCUAACACUUAGUACCAUUUCUUCUCCUAGCCAGAAAACAUCUGAUGGGGCUCUACUUCCAUAUCUUUGGUUUGGGUGAGUUUAAAUAUGAGCCACGCUGGAAAACCCUGCUGAGUCUGGUGAUCCAGCCGAAUGAAAAGUGCUUGGAGCUCAGUAUCAACAAACAAUAAAUGACCCUUUUUAAACGCAUCUAAUUUGCCGAGCCCAUUAGGUUUAUGAUAAUAAAUAAAACCUCUGUAAUGCAUCAUAAUAACAAUAAUACCCUCCCAAUCAUUCAGCACUUAAUGGCCAAUUUAAGAGCAUUAAACAUUGUUAACAAUCAA